AGCAGCCGCGGUAAUUCCAGCUCCAAUAGCGUAUAUUAAAGUUGCUGCAGUUAAAAAGCUCGUAGUUGAAUUUCGGGAUCAUCAUGUCGGUCGUGCCUCGGUACGUACUGGCAUUGUUGGUUUCUACCUUCUGACGAACCAUGAUGUCAUUUAUUUGGUGUCGUGGGAAAUCAGGGACUGUUACUUUGAAAAAUUAGAGUGUUUAAAGCAGGCUCACGCUUGAAUACAUUAGCAUGGAAUAAUGAAAUAGGACGUUUGAUUCUAUUUUGUUGGUUUCUAGGAUCGACAUAAUGAUUAAUAGGGAUAGUUGGGGGCAUUAGUAUUCAAUUGUCAGAGGUGAAAUUCUUGGAUUUAUUGAAGACUAACUACUGCGAAAGCAUUUGCCAAGGAUGUUUUCAUUAAUCAAGAACGAAAGUUAGGGGAUCGAAGA
rnacentral:rRNA from 1 species